UACCGAAAGGGGCGGUAAUACCAAAUAAUAUCAUUUGUCGAUAGGCGAAUGAUCAAAGAUUUAUCGGCAUAGGAGCGGCCUGCCUCCUAUCAGCUUGUUGGUGAGGUAACGGCUCACCAAGGCAGCGACGGGUAGCGGGACUGAGAGGUUGGCCCGCAACAUCGGGACUGAGACACUGCCCGGACCUCCACGGAGGGCUGCAGUAACGAAUAUUGUGCAAUGGGCGAAAGCCUGACACAGCGACGCCGCGUGUAGGAGGAAGUCCCUCGGGAUGUAAACUACUGUCAGGGGUAAGAAAGUGCGCUUCGGUGCAUUGAUCUAACCCAAAGGAAGUCACGGCUAACUUCGUGCCAGCAGCCGCGGUAAGACGAAGGUGGCAAGCGUUGUUCGGUAUCACUGGGCUUAAAGCGUGUGUAGGCGGAAAAGUAAGCGUUUCGUGAAAGCCCCCGGCUCAACCGGGGAAUUGCGCAACGAACUGCUUUUCUUGAGGCAAGUAGGGGUGCAUGGAACUCUUGGUGGAGCGGUGGAAUGCGUAGAUAUCAAG
rnacentral:rRNA from 1 species